rnacentral:rRNA from 1 species
AUGGAAAAACAUCUUGUAAUGUAUUUAACCAGAAAAUCGAUUAUGCUCCUGCGGAAGUAUCUACUCGUAACGGAAUUUCAGGUGUCAAAGUGCGGAUCUCAUAUAGUCAAAAUAAGAAGGGACGUGCUAUAUCCGAAACGUACGAAAUAUAGUAAAUAUUUUAAAUGCAGAUGUAGUAGGGGUCGCGAACCGGAUGGUACACAACUUGGUUUGUAG